CGCUGGCAGACGCGCAAGUGCCCCCAACGCCUUAGGACUUCACACUCAGCGCCCACCGCUCUUACUAGAACAAGCCUCCGAAAUGGUCCUUCAACAACUACAGCCACUGGGUCUUUUGGGCGCACACGGCUGUGAACUGGGCCAGGAACUGACGUAUGUUAUUCCAAAACUCGAUCUCUGUUCACGGGUCAGGGCCGGGAGGAGGAGGAAGCAAUCCUAACGGGAAGACUCGUCCGGCGACCAGCCAUCCAUAAAAAUGUUCUUCCCAUCACCAGGCUGGCGUCAGCUCGUCUCCUGCAUCUGUUCCCCACCGCGCCCCCUCCCCUCGGCGCGGAGCCGGCCCCGAAUGGCAGGCGCAAGGCAAGACAACCCUCCCAGCGCAAUCCCAGCGCUAGCCAACGCUUUCAUGACACCCCUAACUUUUGUCCUCUCCUCUCGCGUGCCUUAAAGGGCUUGGUGGCGUGGCCUAGCGGCUGAAGUCCUCACC